UUUCCUGUGGAUCAGUUGGUAGAGCACUGCGCUAACAACGCAAAGGUCAUGGGUUCAAAUCCCAGGAAAU
rnacentral:tRNA from 1 species